UGGCGGACGGGUGAGUAAUGUCUGGGAAACUGCCCGAUGGAGGGGGAUAACCACUGGAAACGGUAGCUAAUACCGCAUAACGUCGCAAGACCAAAGAGGGGGACCUUCGGGCCUCUUGCCAUCGGAUGUGCCCAGAUGGGAUUAGCUAGUAGGCGGGGUAACGGCUCACCUAGGCGACGAUCCCUAGCUGGUCUGAGAGGAUGACCAGCCACACUGGAACUGAGACACGGUCCAG
rnacentral:rRNA from 1 species